UAGAAAGUGGUGUAGUGGAUGCACGAAGAGUUUUGAUCUCUUUAGGCUGGGUUCGAAUCCCUUUUUUCUAA
rnacentral:tRNA from 1 species